AUUGAACGCUGGCGGCAGGCCUAACACAUGCAAGUCGAGCGGAUGAAGGGAGCUUGCUCCUGGAUUCAGCGGCGGACGGGUGAGUAAUGCCUAGGAAUCUGCCUGGUAGUGGGGGAUAACGUCCGGAAACGGGCGCUAAUACCGCAUACGUCCUGAGGGAGAAAGUGGGGGAUCUUCGGACCUCACGCUAUCAGAUGAGCCUAGGCCGGAUUGGCUAGUUGGUGGGGUAAAGGCCUACCAAGGCGACGAUCCGUAACUGGUCUGAGAGGAAGAUCAGUCACACGGGAAGAGAGACAGGGUAAGGACUACAACGAGAGGCAGCCGUAGUGAAUGUGCGGAAAUGGGCGAAAGACUGAAGGAGAAAUGCAGCGUGAGUGAAGAAGAUUAUCGGAUCGUAAAACUGUUUUAUUAGGGAAGAAAAUAUGUGCAAGGAACUGUGCACAUCCUGACGGGACCUAAUCAGAAAGCCACGGCUAAGUACGUG
rnacentral:rRNA from 1 species